rnacentral:rRNA from 1 species
AAAUUGAAGAGUUUGAUCAUGGCUCAGAUUGAACGCUGGCGGCAGGCCUAACACAUGCAAGUCGAACGGUAACAGGAAGCAGCUUGCUGCUUCGCUGACGAGUGGCGGACGGGUGAGUAAUGUCUGGGAAACUGCCUGAUGGAGGGGGAUAACUACUGGAAACGGUAGCUAAUACCGCAUAAUGUCGCAAGACCAAAGAGGGGGACCUUCGGGCCUCUUGCCAUCGGAUGUGCCCAGAUGGGAUUAGCUUGUUGGUGGGGUAACGGCUCACCAAGGCGACGAUCCCUAGCUGGUCUGAGAGGAUGACCAGCCACACUGGAACUGAGACACGGUCCAGACUCCUACGGGAGGCAGCAGUGGGGAAUAUUGCACAAUGGGCGCAAGCCUGAUGCAGCCAUGCCGCGUGUAUGAAGAAGGCCUUCGGGUUGUAAAGUACUUUCAGCGGGGAGGA